AGGGUUUUCCUGCGUCUGAAUCAGGAAUUAUAAAUCACAGGAGCUGUGCGAGUGCGAGAAGCGGUGCAUGUGAAGUUUAGGAUCACGAGGGCUAUGAGGGGACGUCCUUCCCCUGCUCACUCCAGGCCGUUCCCUCAGGAGAGCCAUCUAAACAUAGAAGCGCCGCCAGUGACCAUGUGCUUUUGUGUGCUGUAUAUUUAGGACACGUGAGAGCACAUUUGGCAUUGACGUCAAAACUGGUGUGCCGCGUCUGAAUAUGCACAUGUGGAAAUGAUGUUCAAGAUCUACUGCUGUAGUCCCUUAAUAUUAACAUUGUUCUGGUUUCACCGUUUCAAAACAUUUCAGCACCUUGGACAGCAGCCAAACAGAAGCAUGUCGCUGAGUAAGAGGAGAGAUUCUGCCGUCGGUGUGCUGUGAUUGGUCCGAUUUUUAAAAUGCUCUAUGACUCAUAACAGGGCCAGAAGACAGCGACAGAGUGAUUAGUUCAACCAUGACUGAACUGGCCCUUGACAGACAGAGCGACCAGCACCUGUUAGUGCACACUGCUGCUGUCCCAACACAACAGAGCCAAACACCACUGACCUUUAUUUGUUAAAGGAAUGUUCUGACUUCAAUACAAGUUAAAAAGAUUGCAAAUUGUCACAAUUUUUUUGCCCUCAGUACUGUUCUGUAACAUUAUACAUGUGUUUACGGUCACUUUUGAUCAAUUUAAUGCAUCUUUGCUGAAUAAAAGUAUUAUUUUGAAAAAAAUUAAAUCUUAU
ensembl:lncRNA